GGUGGCUCAGUGGUAGAGUGCUUGCCUUGCAUGCAUGAGGUCCUGGGUUCGAUUCCUUAGCACCA
rfam:Dipodomys ordii contig_32015, whole genome shotgun sequence.